UCCUACGGGAGGCAGCAGUGAGGAAUAUUGGUCAAUGGUCGGGAGACUGAACCAGCCAAGCCGCGUGGGGGAUGAAGGUACAGAGUAUCGUAAACCUCUUUUGUCAGGGAACAAAGGCGGGGACGUGUCCCCGGAUGAGUGUACCUGAAGAAAAAGCAUCAGCUAACUCCGUGCCAGCAGCCGCGGUAAUACGGAGGAUGCGAGCGUUAUCCGGAUUUAUUGGGUUUAAAGGGUGCGCAGGCGGUCUGUUAAGUCAGCGGUCAAAGCCCGGGGCUCAACCCCGGCCCGCCGUUGAAACUGGCAGU
rnacentral:rRNA from 1 species